rnacentral:rRNA from 1 species
AUUGAACGCUGGCGGCAUGCCUUACACAUGCAAGUCGAACGGCAGCACGGGAGCAAUCCUGGUGGCGAGUGGCGAACGGGUGAGUAAUAUAUCGGAACGUGCCCAGUCGUGGGGAUAACGUAGCGAAAGUUACGCUAAUACCGCAUACGAUCUAAGGAUGAAAGCGGGGGACUCGCAAGAGCCUCGCGCGAUUGGAGCGGCCGAUAUCAGAUUAGGUAGUUGGUGGGGUAAAGGCUCACCAAGCCAACGAUCUGUAGCUGGUCUGAGAGGACGACCAGCCACACUGGGACUGAGACACGGCCCAGACUCCUACGGGAGGCAGCAGUGGGGAAUUUUGGACGAAUAGGG